rnacentral:lncRNA from 10 species
AUAGCUGUCGCCUGCAGCUGAGAAAGGGUUGCUGUCCCAGCAGGCCAGGUCCAGGUGCGCCCCACUAGUGAGGCCGGCGGAAUCGGGAGGGAAGGGGUCAAGGGCACAGUGCGCAGCCCCGGCUGCUCCAGACCUUGCCUGCAGCUUCCCGCCCCAGCCUCCGGCUAUCGCGGCGUUUCUUCUCAGAGGCCGCCGGCUUUGGUUCCUCCCGGCACUGCUGGGCUUGGGGCUGCCAUUCCGGGCAUUGGUUCCCGGGAGGAGGGCUGGGUAUAAGUAAGCAAGAAGAGGGCCUGGGAGAAGAGUCUGACGAGCAAGGGGAAGGUAGCCAAGGAUGGAGUGAAAUACAGGAGAUGCGGUCUUGCUGUGUUGCCUAGGCUGGUCUCAAACUCCUGCUCUCAAGUGAUCCUCCUGCCUCAGCCUCCUGAGUACAUUUAUAUUUAAAGUAAUUAUUGAUGGCUCUGCCUGCUUAGGACUCUGCCCAGCCAGGAAGGAAACCUACAGGAGGAAGAAUGGCUGCAGGGUGGCUGACAACCUGGUCACAGAACUCAGUAACCUUCCAG